rnacentral:rRNA from 2 species
UUAAGCGACUAAGCGUACACGGUGGAUGCCCUGGCAGUCAGAGGCGAUGAAGGACGUGCUAAUCUGCGAUAAGCGUCGGUAAGGUGAUAUGAACCGUUAUAACCGGCGAUUUCCGAAUGGGGAAACCCAGUGUGAUUCGUCACACUAUCAUUAACUGAAUCCAUAGGUUAAUGAGGCGAACCGGGGGAACUGAAACAUCUAAGUACCCCGAGGAAAAGAAAUCAACCGAGAUUCCCCCAGUAGCGGCGAGCGAACGGGGAGCAGCCCAGAGCCUGAAUCAGUGUGUGUGUUAGUGGAAGCGUCUGGAAAGGCGCGCGAUACAGGGUGACAGCCCCGUACACAAAAAUGCACAUACUGUGAGCUCGAUGAGUAGGGCGGGACACGUGGUAUCCUGUCUGAAUAUGGGGGGACCAUCCUCCAAGGCUAAAUACUCCUGACUGACCGAUAGUGAACCAGUACCGUGAGGGAAAGGCGAAAAGAACCCCGGCGAGGGGAGUGAAAAAGAACCUGAAACCGUGUACGUACAAGCAGUGGGAGCCUCUUAAUGGGGUGACUGCGUACCUUUUGUAUAAUGGGUCAGCGACUUAUAUUCUGUAGCAAGGUUAACCGAAUAGGGGAGCCGAAGGGAAACCGAGUCUUAACUGGGCGUUAAGUUGCAGGGUAUAGACCCGAAACCCGGUGAUCUAGCCAUGGGCAGGUUGAAGGUUGGGUAACACUAACUGGAGGACCGAACCGACUAAUGUUGAAAAAUUAGCGGAUGACUUGUGGCUGGGGGUGAAAGGCCAAUCAAACCGGGAGAUAGCUGGUUCUCCCCGAAAGCUAUUUAGGUAGCGCCUCGUGAAUUCAUCUCCGGGGGUAGAGCACUGUUUCGGCAAGGGGGUCAUCCCGACUUACCAACCCGAUGCAAACUGCGAAUACCGGAGAAUGUUAUCACGGGAGACACACGGCGGGUGCUAACGUCCGUCGUGAAGAGGGAAACAACCCAGACCGCCAGCUAAGGUCCCAAAGUCAUGGUUAAGUGGGAAACGAUGUGGGAAGGCCCAGACAGCCAGGAUGUUGGCUUAGAAGCAGCCAUCAUUUAAAGAAAGCGUAAUAGCUCACUGGUCGAGUCGGCCUGCGCGGAAGAUGUAACGGGGCUAAACCAUGCACCGAAGCUGCGGCAGCGACGCUUAUGCGUUGUUGGGUAGGGGAGCGUUCUGUAAGCCUGCGAAGGUGUGCUGUGAGGCAUGCUGGAGGUAUCAGAAGUGCGAAUGCUGACAUAAGUAACGAUAAAGCGGGUGAAAAGCCCGCUCGCCGGAAGACCAAGGGUUCCUGUCCAACGUUAAUCGGGGCAGGGUGAGUCGACCCCUAAGGCGAGGCCGAAAGGCGUAGUCGAUGGGAAACAGGUUAAUAUUCCUGUACUUGGUGUUACUGCGAAGGGGGGACGGAGAAGGCUAUGUUGGCCGGGCGACGGUUGUCCCGGUUUAAGCGUGUAGGCUGGUUUUCCAGGCAAAUCCGGAAAAUCAAGGCUGAGGCGUGAUGACGAGGCACUACGGUGCUGAAGCAACAAAUGCCCUGCUUCCAGGAAAAGCCUCUAAGCAUCAGGUAACAUCAAAUCGUACCCCAAACCGACACAGGUGGUCAGGUAGAGAAUACCAAGGCGCUUGAGAGAACUCGGGUGAAGGAACUAGGCAAAAUGGUGCCGUAACUUCGGGAGAAGGCACGCUGAUAUGUAGGUGAAGUCCCUUGCGGAUGGAGCUGAAAUCAGUCGAAGAUACCAGCUGGCUGCAACUGUUUAUUAAAAACACAGCACUGUGCAAACACGAAAGUGGACGUAUACGGUGUGACGCCUGCCCGGUGCCGGAAGGUUAAUUGAUGGGGUUAGCGGUAACGCGAAGCUCUUGAUCGAAGCCCCGGUAAACGGCGGCCGUAACUAUAACGGUCCUAAGGUAGCGAAAUUCCUUGUCGGGUAAGUUCCGACCUGCACGAAUGGCGUAAUGAUGGCCAGGCUGUCUCCACCCGAGACUCAGUGAAAUUGAACUCGCUGUGAAGAUGCAGUAUACCCGCGGCAAGACGGAAAGACCCCGUGAACCUUUACUAUAGCUUGACACUGAACAUUGAGCCUUGAUGUGUAGGAUAGGUGGGAGGCUUUGAAGUGUGGACGCCAGUCUGCAUGGAGCCGACCUUGAAAUACCACCCUUUAAUGUUUGAUGUUCUAACGUUGGCCCCUAAUCGGGGUUGCGGACAGUGUCUGGUGGGUAGUUUGACUGGGGCGGUCUCCUCCUAAAGAGUAACGGAGGAGCACGAAGGUUGGCUAAUCCUGGUCGGACAUCAGGAGGUUAGUGCAAUGGCAUAAGCCAGCUUGACUGCGAGCGUGACGGCGCGAGCAGGUGCGAAAGCAGGUCAUAGUGAUCCGGUGGUUCUGAAUGGAAGGGCCAUCGCUCAACGGAUAAAAGGUACUCCGGGGAUAACAGGCUGAUACCGCCCAAGAGUUCAUAUCGACGGCGGUGUUUGGCACCUCGAUGUCGGCUCAUCACAUCCUGGGGCUGAAGUAGGUCCCAAGGGUAUGGCUGUUCGCCAUUUAAAGUGGUACGCGAGCUGGGUUUAGAACGUCGUGAGACAGUUCGGUCCCUAUCUGCCGUGGGCGCUGGAGAACUGAGGGGGGCUGCUCCUAGUACGAGAGGACCGGAGUGGACGCAUCACUGGUGUUCGGGUUGUCAUGCCAAUGGCACUGCCCGGUAGCUAAAUGCGGAAGAGAUAAGUGCUGAAAGCAUCUAAGCACGAAACUUGCCCCGAGAUGAGUUCUCCCUGACUCCCUGAGAGUCCUGAAGGAACGUUGAAGACGACGACGUUGAUAGGCCGGGUGUGUAAGCGCAGCGAUGCGUUGAGCUAACCGGUACUAAUGAACCGUGAGGCUUAACCUU